UUCGCAAUGCCCGAAAGGGUGACGAAGCGACGCCGCGUGUGGGAAGAAGGCCUUCGGGUUGUAAACCACUGUCGGGAGUUAAGAAAUGUAAGGAUGUUAAUAGCGUCCUUACUUGACUAAGGCUCCAGAGGAAGCCACGGCUAACUCUGUGCCAGCAGCCGCGGUAAGACGAACCGUGCGAACGUUGUUCGGAAUCACUGGGCCUAAAGAGCGCGUAGGCGGCCAAGCAAGUCAGAUGUGAAAUACCUCAGCCUAACCGAGGAACUGCAUUUGAAACUGCAUGGCUUGAGUACAGGAGGGGAGAGUGGAAUUCCUGGUGGAGUGGUGAAAUGCGUAGAUAUCAGGAGGAACGCCGGUGGCGAAAGCGGCUCUCUGGUCUGUUACUGACGCUGAGUGCGCGAAAGCUAGGGGAGCAAACGGGAUUAGAUACCCCGGUAGUCCUAGCCCUAAACGAUGGGCACUAAGUAGAGGGGUUUU
rnacentral:rRNA from 1 species